UCAUCUUCCACAGGAGAAAAAUGAAGCCUAAAGAGGUUGUGCAGCAUAUCCAAAGUCACAUAAGUGGUGGAACCAGGUCAAGCCUGAGUCUACUGAUGUAGAGUCCUCAAUCCAGCACUCUCAUCUUCUAAGGCAGGAGCGAGAUAAUCUGCACUCCGUUGUCUUUAAGGCUUUUCAUCUUUUCUCAAGUUGAUACUAGAUCUGAGUAAUUCUGGACGAGAGGUCUGGAGAUCUGCUGCACAACAAUGUGAAUACAGUUAGCACAACUGGACUAUUCCCUUCAAAACAGUUAAGAUGGCUGAAAAGCAGAUUCCCCAGAAGAAAUGAAUACAACCACCCACAACCUGGGUUUCUGACACCGUUCCCCACUCAAGAAGAAUUCAGGGCUCCUUGGGGAAAUGUUGGAGCAGAAAGACACAAAAUGAGCCCCUAACACCUAGCAG